GACUCCCAGAGGCCUAUGGACUGGAGCUAUUAACAUCCUGCAGAUGGGAGCCACUCUCUCACUGUGAUCACCAAGCUAAAGAUUUCCUAGAUGAAAGACCUUGAUCCACUGCCUUUCAUGAUUCAGCACUGGAUUUUCUGUUCCAUGCAGCCUUCUAUUGGAAUAAUUUUGUGAAAUGAAGGCAACAAAGUAUUGUUUUCUUAAUCAAAGAGAACUUCAUAAAAAUUGUGCUCCUUGACUGCUAAUUUGUCCUGCAUUGUUACCGAUGCUUUUCUUAUGAUUUUUGUUUUGCACUGAACAGCCCCCUGGCUGAGAGAAAACCCCGAAGCAGUUAAGAUACCAGGAAAGGAAGACUUGAAAAUUGGUUAGUGAAGAUUCUGAGUAUUUCCUGUGAGUCUUUCUCAGUAGAGGAGGCAGUGUGCUGUUAUAUGCUGAUGCAGCUCCUUGUCUUGGACUCAUAACUGACAGAACAGCAUGUGGACCUCACCGCUCCUUGGACUUCGAGUGGCGCUACUCUAACGCUGAGUCCUGACCUGGAUCCCUGUUUGCUUGCCUAGACCUAAGGCGGUGGUGCAGACCUUCCCCCACCCCACAUACCAUCGCCUUCUGGAAUGUGGCUUUGUGGAACUGAGGCUGAGACAAUCACAGUGCCCCAUUCUUCUGGUCAUGUGACAGGUCUGGACCUGGUCAUGUGGCAAAGUCGAAUCUAAGUCACAUCAAAGCAGGGAGAGUUAAAGCAAAUCUUUUCUCUCUUGUUGUGGAGCUGGAAUAUGAGCCCAGAAGCUUCCAGAACACAUGGUCCUGCCCUCAUAAAGAAGCUCAAGUGAGGGAACAAAAUCGACUUAGGUAGCAGCGAGCAUGGAUGGGGCCUGGCUACAUCAAGUUCUCAGAUCCUGUUGUCCCCACCCACCCCCUGUAACUUGCCAAUUUUAUCCAUCAAGCAUCCUCUCCUCUCUCCCAACUUGUCUGAGUUCUGUUUCUGUCAUUGUCACCAAGAGAGCUUUGAUGAGUAAGAAAUCCCAACAUUCCACGGGAGUCUUGGUGGUUUAAAUUUUUAAGUGAGUCCUCACUUGUUAAAGUCUUAUUCCUGUUAGAGGGCACUUCCAUAGUCCAGAAGGUGGGGAAUUCCUAUAGGUGACCUGUGGUCUCUCUAAGCAAUUUGACCAGGACUAUUUAAUAAAAUAUUUUAAAAAUGGUUCCUUUUAAUUAUUCAUUUUCAAAUGUAUAUUUGUUCUUGGCAAACAAGAGAUGAUUUGCGUUAAUCAGUGAUCUUUAAGCAAAUUCCUUGCAAUACUUUAUCUCCAUAUAAACUCGAAGCUUCUUAAAUGAAAUAGUACCUGUGUAUUUCAUAUGGCUUCCUCUUUUAUAAAUAAAAUGAAUGGACUUGGGACCAAAACAGAAUUUUUUUUUUCGGGAACUAUAGGACUGGAAUCUUUUUAUCCAAGGCAGUUGGAUCCCACAGUACAUUUUCACUGUAACAGACAAUGAGGUUGAGUCAAUAAAUAAAUAAAUAAAGUCACCAACAUGUCCAAAAGCCUCCAUUUAAAACUCAAAGCCAGUGGUUUUGGGUUUCACCUUUUCCUUUAAAAUUAAAUUCCCUGAAACCAUAUUUUAAAAAUGCUAUCUGAAUGGGAACCGCCAAACUGGGAAACUUUAAGUUUAAAAAUAGAACUGCAUCUGAAUUAUCUUAUAGAAAUUUGUCUUCUAACCAGCCAUCAGUAACUGUAAGCAUGCUUCAUAGAUCUACAUAUUUCAGCACUUUUUACAUUCUGAAAGAAUCUUGCUUAGAUACGAAGGUUAACUGGACACCUUUUUCUGCAUUCACCUUUAAUACUGGAUGCCCCCUUUAUCUGCACUCCCAAGCUGGGAAGCCCCAGAGUGGGCUCUUGGCCCCUUGCGGCCAACUGAAGUUCUCCAUCUCUGCAGCCUCCGUGAUCACCUUAAGAAUAGGCUCGCGACCUCCUUUGGGCCACACAGAGUCCUUCUCAGGGCUUGCGCUGGAGCUCUCAGGAGGGAUGCUCGCUUUCUCACUGAUCAGGAACUCUAAGGACCAAAGCCUGGAGUGAGGAUGUGAUCUGCUUGCAAGCGAAGGAGGCAGGAGGCAGCCGGACUCGAGGGCACACAUGACCUGGCAGGGCUGAACCUCAGGCUCCGGUGAGGCUGGCUCCUGACUGCCCCUCUGGACUUUCUCAGUUAUUUCAGGCCAUGGAUUAUCUUUAGUGCUUAAGCUAGUUUGAGUUGUGUUUCUGCCACUCAUAAUUCAGAGAAUCCUGGUGGCUUCAGUGUGAUCAGGAAGACAUUGGGAGCCAUUUUAGUUUUUACUUAACUUUUCCAAACUUGCUAGACAGGCUGAUUAUGGGUCUGUGCUAGUCUGGGAACCUGUGUUUGCUCUCUUAAGCCAUGGGUCUUAGACUCAUUUCCUGUUGCAAACAGGAUGCACUGCACAUUUUUACUGUGUUUUUGCUGCCCAUAAGUGGGAGGCAGAUUCGAAUGAUAGAAUUGGAAAGGUUCCAAAAGCACCAGCCAUGGUAGGGACCCUGAAGAUUGCAAGAUAAACAAAAGCAUUCAGAACUUGUGAUGGGAGUGUGAGAGGAUUGAGCGUUGAAGUCAGCCUAACAGAGGCUGUCGUUUACCCGGUGAAAUCCUCAAGUUACAAACAGCUGCUGUGCAAUUGGAAGUCACAGUCUUCAGUUAGGCUUGAUUUGUCAUUUGGUUUAUAAAUAAGCUUUCAUUUUGUCUUUUUUUUUUUUUUUUUUUGGUCUGGCAAUGUGGUAUCUCUUCCUUGCAGGAUUUGGGAAGCUGGGAAUAUGUGUGACCCACACUACCUGAGGGUGAUAGACUUUGACAGUGUCUCCAGCAUUUUCAUGUUGAAAUCUGCUUUAUCCUAAUUUCCAGUCUUGGUCUUGUCUGUCACAGGCUGGGGAGAAGAGCACCGUCCAGAGAAGGACCCAAUAAGGGACAUUUCCACCUUGCUUAGUGGGUUGAGGGCUGGGCUUUGGGUUUGAGAUGUGAAGAGAAAGAAGCUACGUGGAAGAGAAAGGAUGGAGGUACAAGGACGCCCUCCAGCCGGCUACACUUCUGAAACUAAAACAUACAAAACUCAGUGGCUUUUCCUCAACUCCUAUGAUGGAUGUGCAAGGACGCCCUCCAGCUGGCUGCAUUUCUGAUGCUAAAAAUACAAAACUCAGCAGCUUUGCCCAUACUCCUAUGAUGCCUG
rnacentral:lncRNA from 10 species